GCUUACCCCCUGACCUUAUCCCAGAACUUCUGAUACCUUCUGGCCCAUCAGUUUGGUGGUAUCCAGAUCUCCUCUCAACAUGACUGAAUGUAGCUUUUGUUUUACCCCUGCUUCUACUAGAUUUAGUUGAGGGGCUCUUGACCAGCACAAGCCUGGUCAGACUCUCUCAGUCAGGGACACUUUGCUCCCCAGCCAAAGGAGGGAGAUACCAACAGCCCCAUACUUGUUCUAGUUGCUCCUAAUGUCACAGGCAUUAUCAGGCACAGUCUCACCAACACCCAAAACAAAUGGAUUAUAGUUUAGUAGGUUAUUAGUAGCUCCCUUUCCACCUAGUUUGCUUUGGAGAAAUUGUCUGGUCAGAUCCUCAUUGUCUGGUGCUUUGUUUUGCUUAAAGUUAUAUGACCUACCCUGAGAGGCCAAUAUACUUGAAUAAUCUUUUUUUUUUUUUUUUUUUUUUUUUUUUGCCUUUUGCCUUUUGCCUUUUAGGGUGCACCUGUGGCAUACAGAAGUUCUCAGGAUAGGAGCUGAAUCAGAGCUACAGCUCCUGGCCUAGUCCACAGCCACACAGCAACACCAAAUCCGAGUCUGCAACCUACACCAUGGCUUGCGGCAACGCCAAUCCUUAAUUCACUGAGCGAGGUGAGGGAUCGAACCUUCAUCCUCAUGGAUACUAGUUGGGUUCAUUUCCGCUGAGCCACAUUUCCCAGUCUCUCUGUCAACAAGCUAAACUUCUCUUUUGCUUUCCUACACAUCUGAUCAGAUGGUCUUCCCUCUUAUCAAGCUGUCCUUGAAAUCCAAUGUGGCCUGGAAUUCCUGACACCAUCGCCUUCUUCCAGCUUCUCCUGGAUUGUCCUCUAAUUCUGCCCUUCAAUUUCCACACCUCCUUUUGAACUUGGUUUAUGACAGCCAGUUCUGCUAUUUUUUUUCCAUUUGUGUUUGAUUUAUUUUUGCUUCCAGUUCAAUGUCCAGAAGCAGGUUCCCCACUGAAAUCAAAUCGAAGAGCAACAUACAACAUCGUACACUUCUAAGAUACUUAAACUGCUUUUCAAUACUUUCCUUAAAGUAAUAAAAUUUUUUAACUUAUUGUAGACCCUGCCA
rnacentral:lncRNA from 1 species